AGAGUUUGAUCAUGGCUCAGGACGAACGUUGGCGGUGCGCUUAAUGCAUGCAAGUCGAGGGAGAAGCAGUUGUUCCGUAAGGUUCGGCUGUGGAAACCGGCGAACGGGUGCGUAACACGUGAGAAACCUGCCCCCCAGACCGGGAUAGCCCAGGGAAACUUGGAUUAAUACCGGAUACUCUCUUUGGAUCGCAUGAUCCUUUGAGGAAACGGUCCGCUGCUGGGGGAUGGUCUCGCGGCCUAUCAGGUAGUUGGUGAGGUAACGGCGCACCAAGCCUAAGACGGGUAGCUGGUCUGAGAGGACGAUCAGCCACACUGGAACUGAGACACGGUCCAGACUCCUACGGGAGGCAGCAGCAGGGAAUAUUGCACAAUGGGCGAAAGCCUGAUGCAGCGACACCGCGUGCGGGAUGACGGCCUUAGGGUUGUAAACCGCUUUCGGGAGGGAAGAAAAUGACGGUACCUCCUAAAGAAGCUCCGGCCAACUACGUGCCAGCAGCCGCGGUAAUACGUAGGGAGCAAACGUUGUCCGGAUUUAUUGGGCGUAAAGGGCUCGUAGGCGGUUCAACAAGUCGGUCGUGAAAACCCGGGGCUCAACCCCGGGAUGCCGGUCGAAACUGUUGUGACUAGAGUUCGGUAGAGGUGAGUGGAAUUCUCGGUGUAGCGGUGGAAUGCGCAGAUAUCGAGAGGAACACCAUUAGCGAAGGCGGCUCACUGGGCCGAUACUGACGCUGAGGAGCGAAAGCGUGGGGAGCAAACAGGAUUAGAUACCCUGGUAGUCCACGCCGUAAACGAUGAACACUAGGUGUAGCGGACUGAUUCACGUCUGCUGCGCCGUA
rnacentral:rRNA from 1 species